GUGACCAAGAUGAGCUGGUGCAAGUUUUAGACUGUAAAUUAGAGUUGAAUACAUCGGGAACUUGGUCCCAGAAAAGGUGGCAUCGAGAAAGAGGGAAAACAACAAAUUGUUGGGCUUAACAGCCAAAAAGAGACUCAGCCUACAAAUCCUGGUGUAAGAAAAAACCCAAAAAAUGGUGUGGGCAUGGUUACCCAUAGUCUACACAUGGGUAGGCCUCUAUCUGGGCAACACAUUGUUCCCACACAUACCGACACAUGACAUGCAAUUCCCAACACCUUGGGCACCUGAGCAGUAGUUGCCACCCGCACCUCCGUCCAUGCCCAAGAGAGUCAGGCGAUGGCUGCACACAUAGCCCAUAGGCAUGCAUGGAUAAGUCAUUCUGCACGCCUCGCACGUGCUGACCCACGCGCCAGAAAUGGGUGGCAUGCAUUCAGCCCCGUAAAUGUGCACCAAAGAUGGGUCACACUCCCCACCCCUUGCGCGCACGCAACCCACGCACGAGUAGCAGGCCCACACAGCCCAACUGGGCUAAUCACACUGCCACGACCCAAAUCACUUGCAACCUGGCCCAUUGGUGCGAUUUGAUUUUUAUAGUCCUUCUUUGGCUCCAAAAAAAUUUCAGCUUUUCCUAAUUCUACAAGGUAU
rnacentral:lncRNA from 1 species